AUGGUCCCGAUGACCGGAGGGAAUCCCUUCCGGUCAUCAAUGGUCUCAAUGACCGGAAGGGAUUCCUUCCGGUCAUCGGGACCAU
rnacentral:miRNA from 1 species